UACGUAGGGGGCAAGCGUUGUCCUGAUUUAUUGGGCGUAAAGAGCGUGUAGGCGGUUUGGUAGGUCCGUUGUGAAAACUCGAGGCUCAACCUCGAGACGCCGAUGGAAACCAUCAGACUAGAGUCCGGAAGAGGAGAGUGGAAUUCCUGGUGUAGCGGUGAAAUGCGCAGAUAUCAGGAAGAACACCCGUUGCUAAGGCGGCUCUCUAGUACGGUACUGACGCUGAGACGCGAAAGCGUGGGGAGCGAACAGG
rnacentral:rRNA from 1 species